rnacentral:rRNA from 1 species
GAUGAACGCUAGCUACAGGCUUAACACAUGCAAGUCGAGGGGUAACGAGAGGAAAGCUUGCUUUCCUUGUCGACGACCGGCGCACGGGUGAGUAACGCGUAUCCAACCUGCCCCCAACUAGGGAAUAACCUUGCGAAAGUAAGACUAAUACCCUAUAAUUUCCUCAGAUGACAUCUGACGAGGAAUAAAGAUUUAUCGGUUGUGGAUGGGGAUGCGUCUGAUUAGCUUGUUGGCGGGGUACGGCCCACCAAGGCAACGAUCAGUAGGGGUUCUGAGAGGAAGGUCCCCCACAUUGGAACUGAGACACGGGACGAACUCCUAAGGGAGGCAGCAGUGAGGAAUAUUGGUCAAUGGGCGGAAGCCUGAACCAGCCGAGUAGCGUGCAGGAUGACGGCCCUAUGGGUUGUAAACUGCUUUUAUACAGGAAUAAAGUUAGCCACGUGUGGUUAUUUGUAGGUACUGUAUGAAUAGGGACCGGCUAAUUCCGUGCCAGCCGCCGCAGUAA